rnacentral:rRNA from 1 species
UACGUAGGGUCCGAGCGUUGUCCGGAAUUACUGGGCGUAAAGAGCUCGUAGGUGGUUUGUCGCGUUGUUCGUGAAAACCCACAGCUCAACUGUGGGCGUGCGGGCGAUACGGGCAGACUGGAGUACUGCAGGGGAGACUGGAAUUCCUGGUGUAGCGGUGGAAUGCGCAGAUAUCGGGAGGAACACCGGUGGCGAAGGCGGCGACCUGGGUCGAGACUGACGCUGAGGCGCGAAAGCGUGGGGAGCAAACAGG